rnacentral:tRNA from 1 species
AGUAAAGUAAGCUAAACUAAGCUUUUGGGUUCAUACUCCAAAAAUGGGGGCUAAAAUCCCUCCUUUACAA